rnacentral:rRNA from 1 species
GACGAACGCUGGCGGCGUGCUUAACACAUGCAAGUCGAACGAUGAUCAGGAGCUUGCUCCUGUGAUUAGUGGCGAACGGGUGAGUAACACGUGAGUAACCUGCCCCUGACUCUGGGAUAAGCGUUGGAAACGACGUCUAAUACUGGAUAUGAUCACUGGCCGCAUGGUCUGGUGGUGGAAAGAUUUUUUGGUUGGGGAUGGACUCGCGGCCUAUCAGCUUGUUGGUGAGGUAAUGGCUCACCAAGGCGACGACGGGUAGCCGGCCUGAGAGGGUGACCGGCCACAACGGGACUGAGACACGGCCCAGACUCCUACGGGAGGCAGCAGUGGGGAAUAUUGCACAAUGGGCGAAAGCCUGAUGCAGCAACGCCGCGUGAGGGAUGACGGCCUUCGGGUUGUAAACCUCUUUUAGUAGGGAAGAAGCGAAAGUGACGGUACCUGCAGAAAAAGCACCGGCUAACUACGUG